CGAGUCGGUCAGGCGAUCGCCCGGCUACUUACCCAUUCAUGGACGGUGAAAGGAUCCUAACGGGCCUUGAAUGGGUAAGUAGCUGGGAGGAAAGUCCGGGCUCCAUAGGGCAGGGUGCCAGGUAACUCCUGGGGGGCGCGAGCCUACGGAAAGUGCAGCAGAAAGGAAACCGCCCAGCUACUCACUCAUUCGCUAUCGUUGAUAGACUGUUAACGGGCAGUUAAUGAGUGAGUAGCUGGGUAAGGGUGAAAAGGUGCGGUAAGAGCGCACCGCGUCUCUGGUAACAGAGGCGGCGAUGGUAAACCCCACUCGGAGCAAGACCAAAUAGGAAUCCAUGUACUGUGGCCCGCAGUGGAUUCGGGUAGGUCGCUACAGGCAGGUGGUGACACCUGUCGCAGAUGAAUGAUCGUCCUCGACAGAACCCGGCUUAUCGACCGACUCUUUUU
rnacentral:RNase_P_RNA from 1 species